GUGCUCACUACAGCAGCACACAUACUAAAAUUGGAACAAUACAGAAAAGAUUAGCAUGGCCCCUGCACAAGGAUGACAUGUAAAUUCAUGAAGCAUUCCAUUAAAAA
ensembl:snRNA U6 U6 spliceosomal RNA